rnacentral:antisense_RNA from 1 species
GCGCCCGCCCCGCGCGCCCCUGUACUCCCCGCGCCGCUCCUCGGGGUCCCGCGGCGCUCGCAGGCCGCGCCGCCCUGCCGCCCCUCUCUCGUGGCUUUUACGGCCCGCCCGCCCCUCAGCAGCCCUGGGGUGCCCGGGGCGGCCCUGCAAGCGGGAGAGAGCAGCGAGGCGGCGGCGCCGAGUGCGGGGGGAUGCGGAGCCGUGCCCGGCCCUGUCGCAUCCCUCGGCCGCCCGCCCGCGCCCGGCCCCGCCCGGCCUUGCCCGGGCUGCACGCACUUCUCCCGCGGCCCAGAAUCCACUUGACCCUGCUGGGCGCUCCCGCGGGCGGCGGACCCGGGUGGGUGCGGGGGAAUUCCCCGGCCGCCCAGGCGCGGGGAGAGUGAGCUCUGCCGCCCGCAGCAGCGCCCCAAACAAACCGUUUAAGGUCUCUGGAGCCCGCAAGUUCAGCGAAAUAAAGCGGCGGCGCGGAGGAAACCUCUUCCACCUGGACCUGCUCUCCGUUGCGGUUUGGCCUCCAGUGGUGGUCCCACCCACCCUCUAGCUGGCCAGCCCUGGAAACCAACCUCCUUUCUUUUUAUUUCUCACCGGGAAGGGGGACAAACUGGCCUCCGGGUGUCGACUUCAAACUUGCCGCCCGUCUCCGGUCUGGAAAGGCAGGUGAUCAGCUAGAAGGGUGAUAAGAGUAUCAUCGUGGCUCCUAAAGAGUAAUAAUAAUCUCCCUCAUUGUAAAGACAGCUCUUCCCCCUGGCUUACUUUUUUAGACAUGCUGAGAAGCACAUGUCUCCAUCAGGGCCCUACCUCUGCUUCUCCACAGUUGGCCUAGAACCGGAAGCCCCUCCAAGGCCCCCUGACUCUCCUGACCUCUUGGCCACAGCUCCGGAUUCUCACCAGGGAUUCCCCAGAAUUCCUAGAGAGCAGCUCAGAGCCCUGCAGUUGUGCCUCACCACGCGAACCAAACCUCGCACUCCCCGCCAAAAGGGAGUCCCUUCCAGCACUCUCCCCUUUGUUCCUUUUUCUGGGCAAGAACCGCUGACUGGGGCUGCCAGAAAUGUAAACCCUGGGUGCAAGUGACGGGAUCCCUCCAGCGUCAAGCCGAAGAGUCAUCCUCUCACCUCACCCACCUCCGAAUGAGGAUUAACAAACUCAAUUCAGGACACAGGUAGAAGACCAAAAGGCCAAUGAGACUUCUUUCCUAUUUGAGAUCGGAUUUCAGAAUGCUCAGCCUGGCUCCCUUCUUCCCCCAGCUCUGAAUCAAUCCUUUCUUCAUUAGCAUCCAUAACUAAUGUGCAAAAUGUAAAACGCUAAAUUAAGGCAGAGUUGGCAUCAACAUAGUCUGAGAAAAUGGAAUUGUUAUUUUACAAGCUGAUAACUCUCAGCCCUCAAAAACCCCUCUCAUUAGCUGAAGGUAGCAAGUAGCAAGAAGGUUAGGUAAAAACAUAGAGAAUAUGAAUAUAGGAAAAAGUACAGGUGUGAAGGGCUGGCUGCCGAAAUCCCAAUGCACAGUGUAUUUGGAAAAAGGAAAAAAAAGAAAAGAAAAUCUGUCUUUCUAAUAUCCCCUUAGCAUACGCCUUGUUGGAAAUGUUUGCUUUGGCGAAAGUGAGAUGGAGACAUUGAGACAGCAUUCCCAGGAACAAAGGCUGGGGGUGGAGGGUGGAGGAGGGAGCAGGAACAGCCCCUGUCUGGAAGAACUGCAAGUUCUGAGGCCUGAACAAGAAAUGUGUCCUGUUCCCGUGCUCCUGGCUGCAGCUGGGAAGCUUCUUCAGAAAGGAGACCUCCCGGCCCUCACCGGGAUCUGGCUUUCCUUCCCUUCCCACCACAUCUGUUUAUACAAAGGAGGGCCGCUGAAGGACAAACAUAACCGUGUUUACUGCGAGUCCCAUGCUGGGCUUGGAGCUCAGAUACAGAUUUGCCCUCACCAUGGAGGCUGAAGAUAGAUGAUCCCAGAAAAGGAAAGAGGGAAGGCCCUGGGAUGGUACAGAGCUGGUUGAGGGGUUUACUCAUGAAAGGCCUCUCCCAAAAAGCCAUGUAGUAACGGGCAGAUUUACGUUUGAAUUUAAACUCUGGUGCCUUGUGUUAAUAUAUGAGAGUGUGUGCACCUAAAGCAAUUGCAAGGCGGGUAUUUAAAAAUGUUUCUUUAGGAAUAGCCAUGAUUUUCUGUUUGGGGCCUCUAACAUGGGGAUAGUUGGAUUGAUUAUUUCCAGUGUUAUGUUUUCAUGUAAUAGUGUCUUGGAGAAUGAGGACUUUUGAGGAAACCCAAAUAAUAGUUGCAGAUCCUGUUUUUUACUAAGCUGUCAUGGAGAUAAAUUCAAAAUAGUUUUUACAAGUAAAAUGUAGAACAGUUAGUGAGAGCCUUUAUGGGAGAUCUUUAUUAUUUAUCUGGUUUAUGAAGAUGUUCCUAUUAUCCUCCAGCCUCUGGGUAUGCAAACCAAAACAAGCACUUAAUCUAGUUGUCAAAAUUUUAACUCCUUAAUACAAAGCAAAAAAGGGGUUUGGACUUUUGGGGAUUAGAAUGUCAGAACUAAAAGGGAACUUCUUUAUGUAAAAGAGAGACUCUCAAAAAAUAAAAAUUUUAGAGUGA